UACGUAGGGUGCAAGCGUUAAUCGGAAUUACUGGGCGUAAAGCGUGCGCAGGCGGUUUUGUAAGACUGUCGUGAAAUCCCCGGGCUCAACCUGGGAAUGGCGAUGGUGACUGCAAGGCUAGAGUUUGGCAGAGGGGGGUAGAAUUCCACGUGUAGCAGUGAAAUGCGUAGAUAUGUGGAGGAACACCAAUGGCGAAGGCAGCCCCCUGGGUCAAAACUGACGCUCAUGCACGAAAGCGUGGGGAGCAAACAGG
rnacentral:rRNA from 1 species